rnacentral:rRNA from 1 species
ACGAGUGGCGGACGGGUGAGUAAUGUCUGGGAAACUGCCUGAUGGAGGGGGAUAACUACUGGAAACGGUAGCUAAUACCGCAUAACGUCGCAAGACCAAAGAGGGGGACCUUCGGGCCNCUUGCCAUCGGAUGUGCCCAGAUGGGAUUAGCUAGUAGGUGGGGUAACGGCUCACCUAGGCGACGAUCCCUAGCUGGUCUGAGAGGAUGACCAGCCACACUGGAACUGAGACACGGUCCAAACUCCUACGGGAGGCAGCAUG